AGAGUUUGAUCCUGGCUCAGGACGAACGCUGGCGGCGUGCUUAACACAUGCAAGUCGAGGGAGAACCUCAGCGGGGGUAACCCUGCUGAGGGGAGACCGGCGAACGGGUGAGGAACACGUGAGGAACCUGCCCCGGACUCUGGGAUAACAGCGGGAAACCGCUGCUAAUACCGGAUACUCCAUCCUCUUCUCAUGAAGAGAAUGGGAAAGUUUUUCGGUCCGGGAUGGCCUCGCGGCCUAUCAGCUAGUUGGUGGGGUAACGGCCUACCAAGGCGACGACGGGUAGCUGGUCUGAGAGGAUGGCCAGCCACAUUGGGACUGAGACACGGCCCAGACUCCUACGGGAGGCAGCAGUGGGGAAUAUUGCGCAAUGGACGAAAGUCUGACGCAGCGACGCCGCGUGUGGGAUGACGGUCUUCGGAUUGUAAACCACUGUCGGGAGGGACGAAUACGCCGCAAGGCGGGUGACGGUACCUCCAAAGGAAGCACCGGCUAACUCCGUGCCAGCAGCCGCGGUAAUACGUAGGGGGCGAGCGUUGUCCGGAAUUAUUGGGCGUAAAGAGCGUGUAGGCGGUUCGGUAAGUCUGCCGUGAAAACCCAGGGCUCAACCCUGGGCGUGCGGUGGAUACUGUCGGGCUAGAGGGUGGUAGAGGCGAGUGGAAUUCCCGGUGUAGCGGUGAAAUGCGCAGAUAUCGGGAGGAACACCAGUAGCGAAGGCGGCUCGCUGGGCCACACCUGACGCUGAGACGCGAAAGCGUGGGGAGCGAACAGGAUUAGAUACCCCGGUAGUCC
rnacentral:rRNA from 1 species